rnacentral:lncRNA from 1 species
GAAAUAUACGCUGGAAAAAAUGAGAACCUUAUCUUGAGACAACAUUGUAAAAAACUCCUAAAUCGAUAUAACAAUGAAAACAUAAAACACAUGUAUCUUCUAAAAAUAAUUACAACAAGCAUAUAACACAUGUAAGAGCAUAAAAAUGUAAAUAUACAACAAAUCACAGCAACACUAGACAACAUUAGACAAAUCUGAAAC